GGGUUGUGAGGUUAAGCGACUAAGCGUACACGGUGGAUGCCCUGGCAGUCAGAGGCGAUGAAGGACGUGCUAAUCUGCGAAAAGCGUCGGUAAGGUGAUAUGAACCGUUAUAACCGGCGAUGUCCGAAUGGGGAAACCCAGUGUGAUUCGUCACACUAUCGUUAACUGAAUACAUAGGUUAACGAGGCGAACCGGGGGAACUGAAACAUCUAAGUACCCCGAGGAAAAGAAAUCAACCGAGAUUCCCCCAGUAGCGGCGAGCGAACGGGGAGCAGCCCAGAGUCUGAAUCAGCUUGUGUGUUAGUGGAACGGUCUGGAAAGUCCGACGGUACAGGGUGAUAGUCCCGUACACCAAAAUGCACAGGUUGUGAACUCGAAGAGUAGGGCGGGACACGUGGUAUCCUGUCUGAAUAUGGGGGGACCAUCCUCCAAGGCUAAAUACUCCUGACUGACCGAUAGUGAACCAGUACCGUGAGGGAAAGGCGAAAAGAACCCCGGCGAGGGGAGUGAAAAAGAACCUGAAACCGUGUACGUACAAGCAGUGGGAGCACCUUCGGGUGUGACUGCGUACCUUUUGUAUAAUGGGUCAGCGACUUAUAUUCUGUAGCAAGGUUAACCGUAUAGGGGAGCCGCAGGGAAACCGAGUCUUAACUGGGCGUUAAGUUGCAGGGUAUAGACCCGAAACCCGGUGAUCUAGCCAUGGGCAGGUUGAAGGUUGGGUAACACUAACUGGAGGACCGAACCGACUAAUGUUGAAAAAUUAGCGGAUGACUUGUGGCUGGGGGUGAAAGGCCAAUCAAACCGGGAGAUAGCUGGUUCUCCCCGAAAGCUAUUUAGGUAGCGCCUCGUGAAUUCAUCUUCGGGGGUAGAGCACUGUUUCGGCUAGGGGGUCAUCCCGACUUACCAACCCGAUGCAAACUACGAAUACCGAAGAAUGUUAUCACGGGAGACACACGGCGGGUGCUAACGUCCGUCGUGAAGAGGGAAACAACCCAGACCGCCAGCUAAGGUCCCAAAGUCAUGGUUAAGUGGGAAACGAUGUGGGAAGGCACAGACAGCCAGGAUGUUGGCUUAGAAGCAGCCAUCAUUUAAAGAAAGCGUAAUAGCUCACUGGUCGAGUCGGCCUGCGCGGAAGAUGUAACGGGGCUAAACCAUGCACCGAAGCUGCGGCAGCGACACGAUGUGUUGUUGGGUAGGGGAGCGUUCUGUAAGCCUGCGAAGGUGUGCUGUGAGGCAUGCUGGAGGUAUCAGAAGUGCGAAUGCUGACAUAAGUAACGAUAAAGCGGGUGAAAAGCCCGCUCGCCGGAAGACCAAGGGUUCCUGUCCAACGUUAAUCGGGGCAGGGUGAGUCGACCCCUAAGGCGAGGCCGAAAGGCGUAGUCGAUGGGAAACAGGUUAAUAUUCCUGUACUUGGUGUUACUGCGAAGGGGGGACGGAGAAGGCUAUGUUAGCCGGGCGACGGUUGUCCCGGUUUAAGCAUGUAGGCUGGUUAUCCAGGCAAAUCCGGAUAAUCAAGGCUGAGGUGUGAUGACGAGGCACUACGGUGCUGAAGUAACAAAUGCCCUGCUUCCAGGAAAAGCCUCUAAGCAUCAGGUAACAUCAAAUCGUACCCCAAACCGACACAGGUGGUCAGGUAGAGAAUACCAAGGCGCUUGAGAGAACUCGGGUGAAGGAACUAGGCAAAAUGGUGCCGUAACUUCGGGAGAAGGCACGCUGGUGUGUAGGUGAAGUCCCUGCGGAUGGAGCUGAGACCAGUCGAAGAUACCAGCUGGCUGCAACUGUUUAUUAAAAACACAGCACUGUGCAAACACGAAAGUGGACGUAUACGGUGUGACGCCUGCCCGGUGCCGGAAGGUUAAUUGAUGGGGUUAUCCGUAAGGAGAAGCUCUUGAUCGAAGCCCCGGUAAACGGCGGCCGUAACUAUAACGGUCCUAAGGUAGCGAAAUUCCUUGUCGGGUAAGUUCCGACCUGCACGAAUGGCGUAAUGAUGGCCAGGCUGUCUCCACCCGAGACUCAGUGAAAUUGAACUCGCUGUGAAGAUGCAGUGUACCCGCGGCAAGACGGAAAGACCCCGUGAACCUUUACUAUAGCUUGACACUGAACAUUGAGCCUUGAUGUGUAGGAUAGGUGGGAGGCUUUGAAGCGUGGACGCCAGUCUGCGUGGAGCCAACCUUGAAAUACCACCCUUUAAUGUUUGAUGUUCUAACGUUGGCCCCUGACCGGGGUUGCGGACAGUGUCUGGUGGGUAGUUUGACUGGGGCGGUCUCCUCCCAAAGCGUAACGGAGGAGCACGAAGGUUAGCUAAUCCUGGUCGGACAUCAGGAGGUUAGUGCAAUGGCAUAAGCUAGCUUGACUGCGAGCGUGACGGCGCGAGCAGGUGCGAAAGCAGGUCAUAGUGAUCCGGUGGUUCUGAAUGGAAGGGCCAUCGCUCAACGGAUAAAAGGUACUCCGGGGAUAACAGGCUGAUACCGCCCAAGAGUUCAUAUCGACGGCGGUGUUUGGCACCUCGAUGUCGGCUCAUCACAUCCUGGGGCUGAAGUAGGUCCCAAGGGUAUGGCUGUUCGCCAUUUAAAGUGGUACGCGAGCUGGGUUUAGAACGUCGUGAGACAGUUCGGUCCCUAUCUGCCGUGGGCGCUGGAGAAUUGAGGGGGGCUGCUCCUAGUACGAGAGGACCGGAGUGGACGCAUCACUGGUGUUCGGGUUGUCAUGCCAAUGGCACUGCCCGGUAGCUAAAUGCGGAAGAGAUAAGUGCUGAAAGCAUCUAAGCACGAAACUUGCCCCGAGAUGAGUUCUCCCUGAGACUUUAAGUCUCCUGAAGGAACGUUAAAGACGAUGACGUUGAUAGGCCGGGUGUGUAAGCGCAGCGAUGCGUUGAGCUAACCGGUACUAAUGAACCGUGAGGCUUAACCUUACAACGCCGAAG
rnacentral:rRNA from 1 species